rnacentral:snRNA from 1 species
AGAUGUAAGGAUGAUCGGGCUGUGACAUUUGUCACCCCAUUGAUCUUCAGGGUUGAUUCAGCUGAUCUGGCUGCCUAGGUGAGUGUCCCCUUCCUCCCUCACUGCUCCAUGUGCUCCCUUCCAAAGGCUGGUCAAACAGGAUGAACUUCCCGGACAGAGGAGGAGUGUUCUUGGGUCAGGGGUAUACAAGUAGCUGCAUCCCCCUGCUAGAACCUCCAAACAAGCUCUCAAUCCCCAGCACCAUUAAAAAAAAGAUUUCAUGGUACUGGCACAAAAACAGACAUGAAGACCAGU